rnacentral:rRNA from 1 species
GCCAGACUCCUACGGGAGGCAGCAGUGGGGAAUAUUGCACAAUGGGGGAAACCCUGAUGCAGCGACGCCGCGUGAGUGAAGAAGUAUUUCGGUAUGUAAAGCUCUAUCAGCAGGAACGAGACAAGACGGUACCUGACUAAGAAGCCCCGGCUAACUACGUGCCAGCAGCCGCGGUAAUACGUAGGGGGCAAGCGUUAUCCGGAAUCACUGGGUGUAAAGGGAGCGUAGACGGCUGAGCAAGCCUGAAGUGAAAGGCGGGGGCCCAACCCCCGGACUGCUUUGGGAACUGUACGGCUGGAGUGCAGGAGAGGUAAGUGGAAUUCCUAGUGUAGCGGUGAAAUGCGUAGAUAUUAGGAGGAACACCAGUGGCGAAGGCGGCUUACUGGACUGUAACUGACGUUGAGGCUCGAAAGCGUGGGGAGCAAACAGGAUUAGAUACCCUAGUACA